AUUGAACGCUGGCGGCAGGCCUAACACAUGCAAGUCGCACGAGUGGCGGACGGGUGAGUAAUGUCUGGGAAACUGUCUGAUGGAGGGGGAUAACUACUGGAAACGGUAGCUAAUACCGCAUACCAUCAGAUGUGCCCAGAUGGGAUUAGCUAGUUGGUGGGGUAACGGCUUACCAAGGCGACGAUCCCUAGCUGGUCUGAGAGGAUGAACAGCCACACUGGAACUGAGAGACGGUCCAGACUCCUACGAGAGGCAGCAGUGGGGAAUAUUGCACAAUGGGCGCAAGCCGGAUGCAGCCAUGCCGCGUGUAUGAAGAAGGCCUUCGGGGUGGAAAGCACUUUCAGCGGGGAGGCGUUACCCGCAGAAGAAGCACCGGCUAACUCCGUGCUAGCAGCCGCGGUAAUUC
rnacentral:rRNA from 1 species